CAUGAAUAUCUAAAAAUCACAACCAGAUCAGCUUGACUCCAGGAACAAACUCGGCUCACAUUUUUGGACUUGUGUUAAGCCACAUGCGGAAACUCCCGAACGAUCUCCCUGACCGUGGUGAUAUCUAAAACAGGACAAAGAUAACAGCGCAUUCUCAGAGACCUCCACAGUGAAAGCUUCACAUAAACAGAGGUGUGUACCGAGAUGACAUUUUCUGCAAGGAGAGAGUUAUUUAUGCGUUUUUGGAAGGAGCCUCCAGCACUUUCUAACAGUCAGAGGUACAGCUAUACCUAUGACAAGAUGAUUUUUUUUCUAGUCAGGGACCGACUGGGUAUAACAGGAACUAACAUGUCUCACGGAUGUUCCAAUUUAUUCUAACUUUAAACUUAAACUUUAAUUUAAGUUUUGUUGUUCUUUAAUAAAUAAAAUAUCAAUAGUGUUGGCAAAUUGCUGUGGUAUAGGAAAUAUAAAACACUUUGGGAUGUGCUGUUACUGGAAAAUAUGUAGUAAUGGUGUAUUAUUUUCUUUGAGCUGGGCAAACCAAAUUAACUUUGGAAAUACAUGUAUGCAUGAAACCAUUAUUUUUUUUUAUUAACCCGUAGCCCAUAAAAAGGCUGAAGCAUAGAUCAUGAUGAUAUUGGCCCCAAUCGGGAAUCUUGGCCUUUCAGUUUAUAUGUAGUAUAAUUGAGUACUCUCUGUUUGGGAGGGGCGGUUGUUUGUUGGAUCCAGUGGCAUGUCUACGUGUUGCUGGUGUGAUUCCUGUUCUCCCUGUGCUUUGGGGGUUUCCUUCCACAGUCCAAAUACAUUGUCGGCUGAUCGGCAUCUCUAAAUUGUCCGUAGUGUGUGAAUAGGUGUUGUGCCCUAAGUCCCGUGGGAUAGACUCCACUAUAAGCACUACAGAAAAUAGAUGGAUGGAUGAUGGAUGGAUGAUAGACAAAUGGAUGGAUGGAACUUUAUUUGCAUGAAUCAGAGUAACUGCUUCAUGUGGAUUGUUCCUGAUUGGGGCUUUAAUAAUCGAAAUAGAAAAGAUCUCCACAUAACCAGAUCCAAUAGAUAUUCUAUACAGCUACUAAGAAAGCAACUGAUGUUUAAAUAUAUGAGAUAAGGAACAGCUAGAGGAGAAACCCGUAAACCCCGCACCACUAAGACAGAACCUGUAACACAACCACACCACACCAAUCCACACCAGAGCAGGAAACAUCACUCACUCUUUCCUUGUGCUUUACCCGAUGAGGGCUCUGAAGAAUACUGGCAUCUAUAAAGAGAACAAAACUGACAUAAGACAAGGAAAACUUGACGUUAGCUUUCCAUGUAUACGUUUUAAACCCAAACACUUUUGAACUGUGGGAUCGUCAAAGAACACGAAGGAGAGUUUACAGAUAUCGAUGGCACAAGCAGAAAGAAAACAUCUAACCAGCCAGUUCUACUACAUAGUGUAGCAUGAUGCAGCAUUGUAGAUGUAGCAUUAUACUACACGUCUUUUUGAAUGAUUGGCAGAGAAUGAUAUAAUCCCUUAAAUUACAAUCAGCAUGUCAUUUACUGUACACGAAUACACAGAGAGCUGAGCAUUGACCCACAGACCAUGAAAACACACAGAAUCUCUCUCUCUCUCUCUCUCUCUCUCUCUCUCUCUCUCUCUCACACACACACACACACACACACACACACACACACACACACACAAAACCCACCCUGUACGUCUCUCUGUAGCCUUUCAAUUCACCCAAGAAAUCACCGUGGCCCAAGACGUUAUAUUUUUCUUUCAUUUUUACUUUAUUCUGUAUUAUACUGUAUUCUAAAUAAUUGAUUAUUUCUUUUAUUCUACAAAGAGACGCACUGAAAACAGCAAUAAAGACCAAGCGCAGAAGAGUGCGAGGAGUCCAAAAGCAUCAUAGUUUUAUUCUUUCAGCUUUUUUUUCAGUGACAAACGUUUUUGUUGCAAUUUCAGUUGCGUAAAUAAUAUCUCCAAAUACAGGACUUUUAAACAGAUGCACAGUAGAACUCAGAGUGCAAGCAGGUGGGAACAGUAAAGUGUAUUUACACCACAGUUAUUCAGAGGAAAUUGUACAUGCUCACGUUAAACACACUCCAAAAGACAGAAUCAUGUUUCUGAUUUUUUUUUGUAAUUAGAUAAAAGUACAUUUUCCCUCUCUUAAACAUUAAACUGGUCAGUUUUCCCAAUGCAGUUUGUCUAAAAAUGCCUCAAGCAUGAUCAAUUCCUUUCAUUUGUCUUUAGAGGUAUGGAUUUUAUAGCUAACCAUCAUGACAUAAUACUGCAUUUCCACUACUAAUUGCAUCAUGUCCAGGGCUGAGAGCGCAAAACAUAGCUGAAGUUCAUGCUGAGGUACGUUAAAAAAACAAACCAAAAAAUAAAUUCCAUUUUAAUUCGAACUGCAUGGAAACAGAUGCCAUCAAAAACCUCAUGCAUUUCUAAAAAAACGAGGAUAUGGGCAGCUUAAGAAAUAAUACAUCAUGCAUGCGAGCAUGUUCUGCAUGCAGAAACCAACUAUCAGCUACUGACCUUAACAAAGAGCUCGGGAAAAUAAAUCAUAUUACGUCAUUCUGGGGACUUUUAUACAAAUAUACAAAACAUAUAAUUUACCUUUGCCUUGAUAAAUAAUUUAGCUUAACUGUCAUCUGGUAUUAUUCUAAAACUUUAAACUAGCUUAAAAAUACCUGCAAUUACAGGAAUUCAAAUUAAAACCAUUCAUGAGUCCUAUUGAGAGAGCGGAACAAUGCGAGUCCAGUUAAAACGGCAUUAUAUUAAGCUUGAAACUAAAAAAAAAGUUUCCAUUGCACUAGUCCUCUGGCAGAACUUCAUAAAUAAAAAUAUAACUAAACAACCCAAAAAAACAAAA